rnacentral:rRNA from 1 species
GAUGAACGCUGACAGAAUGCUUAACACAUGCAAGUCUACUUGAAUUUGGGUUUUUAACUUAGAUUUGGGUGGCGGACGGGUGAGUAACGCGUAAAGAACUUGCCUCACAGCUAGGGACAACAUUUAGAAAUGAAUGCUAAUACCUAAUAUUAUGAUAAUAGGGCAUCCUAUAAUUAUGAAAGCUAUAAGCGCUGUGAGAGAGCUUUGCGUCCCAUUAGCUAGUUGGAGAGGUAACGGCUCACCAAGGCGAUGAUGGGUAGCCGGCCUGAGAGGGUGAUCGGCCACAAGGGGACUGAGACACGGCCCUUACUCCUACGGGAGGCAGCAGUGGGGAAUAUUGGACAAUGGACCGAGAGUCUGAUCCAGCAAUUCUGUGUGCACGAUGAAGUUUUUCGGAAUGUAAAGUGCUUUCAGUUGGGAAGAAAGAAAUGACGGUACCAACAGAAGAAGUGACGGCUAAAUACGUGCCAGCAGCCGCGGUAAUACGUAUGUCACGAGCGUUAUCCGGAUUUAUUGGGCGUAAAGCGCGUCUAGGUGGUUAUAUAAGUCUGAUGUGAAAAUGCAGGGCUCAACUCUGUAUUGCGUUGGAAACUGUAUAACUAGAGUACUGGAGAGGUAAGCGGAACUACAAGUGUAGAGGUGAAAUUCGUAGAUAUUUGUAGGAAUGCCGAUGGGGAAGCCAGCUUACUGGACAGAUACUGACGCUGAAGCGCGAAAGCGUGGGUAGCAAACAGG